CAACCCCUGCUUUUUUUUUGCUUUACAUUUUCUUGAUAAAUAACCAAAGGGUGAGUGGUUGACAGAGUGAGCCAGGCCUCGAGCGGUACUAUUGGGAGGUUGUGGGGAACACACAGACACAGGCACCCGUGAGAGCUAGAAGCACGCCACACCAGGGCGGGUCACGGUUCCCGCCCUGCAGAAGCCGUGAGGCCAGCAUGUGUUGGUCUGUACUGCCCGGCCUGUGGUGAGUUGUCACACAACUAAUGCAAGUCCAGGCAGCAGAACGUGAACAGAGCCUCAUGGGCACAGCUCUUCGGCAAUUACUGGCGCAUCUCAUUUUAUUGCACUUCAUUGUGCGUUUUAUAAAUUACAGGCGUGUGGCAGCCCCACUAGAGCAACCCUGUCAGUGCCACUCUUCCAGCAGCACGCCCACUCCACAUCUCCACGUCUCCUUGUGGUAAUUCUCGCAAUACCUCAAACUGUUAUUGUAUGUGUUAUGGUGACCUGUAGUGUCACGACUAUCUCGGGGAGCCCAUAUGAAACGGUGAACUUGAUUGAUAAAUGUGAAUGUUCUGACGGCUCUGCUGGUUGGCUGUCCCUCCCCACUCCCCAGCCCCCACCCCACCACUCUUCAGGCCUCCCUAUUCCCUGAGGCACAACAUUGAAAUUAGGUCAACUAAUAACCCCACAGUGGCCUCUAAGUGUUCAAGUGAAAGGAAGAGUUGCAAGUCUCUCACUUUAAAUCAAAAGCUAGAAAUGUUUAAGCUUAAUGAGGAAGGCACAUUGAAAGCCAAGACUGGCAGGAGAGGCCCAGCUUUCAGCCUAACAGUUAGCCAAGUUGUGAAUGCAAAGGAAAAGUUAUUUAAGGAAAUUAAAAGUGGUCCUCCAGUGAACACACAAAUGAUAGUGAAACAGCCUUUUGCAGAUAGGGAGAAAGUGUUAGUGGUCUGACAGAUCAAACCAGCCACAACAUUCCCUUAAGCCAAAGCCUAAUACAGAGCGAGGUCCUGACUCUCCUCAAUUCUGUGAAGGCUGAAUGAUGUGAGGAAGCUGUGAACAAAAGUUUGAAGCUAGCAGAGGUUGGUCCACAAGGUUUAAGGAAAGAAGCCGUCUCUGUAAUAGUAUGAGGUGAGGCAGCAGGCUCUCCAGAAGAUCCUGCUAAAGUCACAAUGGAGGUGGCCACACUCAACCAUAGACCUUCAGUGUAGAGGAAGCAACCUUGAACUGGAAGAAGACACCAUGCAUGACUUUCAUAGGUAGGGAGAAGUCAGUGCCUGGCUUCAGAGCUUCAAAAGACAGUCUGACUCUUAUUAGAGGCUAAUGCUGCUGUGACUUUAAAACCCAUUUAUGCCUAGUGUUCCAUUAUUGCAAUGCUAAGCAUGUGGGAGUUUAUAUUCUGCUUAAGGUCACUGUCAAGGUCUGCAAAAAUUUAAAAAAUUGCAACUUCAGCCAUAAAUGGGUUAAGUUGAAGGCAGUGCUCACCAUUCUGAGAAUCCUAGGAUUCUUAAGAAUGAGGCUAAAUCUGCUCUGCCCGUGGCUCUAGAAAUGGAAUGGCAAGGCCCAGGUGGUAGCACAUCUGUGCACAGCAUGGUUUAUGGAAUACUGUAAGCCCACUGUUAGGCCCUCAGAAAAGGAGAUUCCUUUCAAAAUAUGACAGCUCAUCGACGGUGCGCCUGGUCACCCAAGAGCUCUGAGGCCAGUGUACAAGGGGUUUGUGUUUUCGUGCUGACACAGCAUCCGUUCUGCAGCCCAUGGGUCCAGAAGUCAUUCCAACUCUCACGUCUUACUGAAGAAAGACAUUUUCUAAGGCUGUAGCCGCCACAGGUAGUGAUUGCUUUGAUGGAUCUGAGCAAAGUAAAUGAAAAACUUUGAAUAACCAUUGUCCAACUUACCAGGGACAUUGAGAUGAGUGAGUGGGAGGCUCUGAGAAGCAGUUAUAAAAUGCAGAUUCUGCAAAUAUCUGGUUUAGUGUUUCAGAAACAGCCUUUUCAGGAUCUACUUCUCAGGGACCGCCUCCAACCCCAUCAGUGCCGCUCUUCCAGCAGCACGCCCACUGCAUGUCUCCUCGUGGUAAUUCUCGCAAUACGUCAAACUGUUAUUGUAUGUGUUGUGGUGACCUGUGGUGUCACUACUACCUUGGGACGCUCAUAUGAACCCCAAGGCACUUGGUGAAAACCCUUCCCAGGGAGUGGGCUUAGCGUGGGAAAGGAGGUUCCUCCUUGUCUUGCACACGCCAUGUCCUUGGAGGGCCCAGAGCCCCCGCGGUCACCUGUCUUGCGUGUUCUUCCAGGGGCAGCUGGCAGUGUGGCCUCACAGCACAUGCUUGUUCCAUGUCUUGCUCUUUUCGCAUAAUGUAGAUUGGAGGUUAUUCCGUGUGGAGCCCCUGGAGCCCCUGGGCUCUACUGCUGCUGUGACGUUUCUAUUCAGGGGUAUUUCCAGCUUAUGUGAGCCGUAUUAGCAAAGUGGCGGGAAACCAGCCCCACAUACCAUCCCUGGAGCCAGCGUGUCCACCUUUUGUGUCCUCCACGCCUCCAGAUCCCCACGCUGGUGUUGUGACACUCAUUCUAGCCUAGUUUCAUCCAUUAUUGUUUCCCUGAUGUAUCUCAAAGAGAUAAAAACUUUCAAAAGACCAUAAAACCACCAUUCCGCCACAGAAUUCCAAAUAUCCAAUCAAUGUUCAGAUCUUCCUAAUUGCCUUAUAAAUUGCUUCAUGUUUUAAGUUUGCUUGCUGGAAUCCGGCAGUGUCCGUGUGACCUUUACAACAUGACCUUUCUGUCUCCCCGACGCCAACGCUCUUUUCUUAGUUCAGCUAAAGAAGGGGCUUGUGCAUCCUGCACUCUGCUGACCGGGGCCCUGUGGUUUUGCGUGUUCUGCUCCGUCCUAUUGAGAGGUGGUCAGACCGAGGCCACAUCAGGCUCCCCUGCGAUUCCGUUGGCAGGAGCACCUCGGGGGUCUCAGGGCAUCUCUGUGGUGCUGUUGUGCCUUCCUCCACUGUUAGCUGGAAUAGUAAAGAGAAACUCAAGGUUCACGUUCCUCACUAAAACACCCGCUCUUCGAUUAUACGGAUGUUUCAUGCAUUUGUGAUACGGUUACUUACUGACGUACAUUUUGGCCAUUUUUAAUCAUUCAGUGUUUAACAUGCUGCUGUAGUAUUUGUAUAUAUACAUAAUUUCACUCAAGUGGCUCUAUGUGAAAUAAAUUCUAAAAAUUUCUAGUCAAAGAGCACACACAUUCAGCCCCAGUCUUGCUGUUCACCACCUGCAGCGGCUGUGCCAACCCACCCCCACCAGCGAUGGAGCACCUGCCUCAUGCCCUUACAGGGAGGGAAAGCAUCUUCUCACAUAUUUAUGAGCUGCUUUAUUUCCCUUUUGGUAAAUUAUUCUUCUCAUUAGCCCACUUUUCUACUGGUCAGUAUUUUCAUAAGGAAAACUCGCUGACGUGCUGCGAAUUUUUCUGCCAUUUGACAUUUUUAUAUUUAUGCCAUUGUGGUAUCAUCAAAUUAAAUGACUUUCAUUUAUGGAGUCCGAUUCAUUCUGAGACAAUGACUCCUGGUUGUGAAAUUCAAAAAAACAACAUUGUCCAAUUUUGCUUCUGGGAUUUCUACUUUUUAAUUACAUCUUUGAUACAACUGGAAUUUCUUUUGGUAAAGAGAUUACAGAUGCAAAUUUUUCUUUCCAUUUGGAUACCUGAUUGUCCCAACAUCGUUUAUAUCCUGCUUUUCCAGGAAUGCAAUGCCAUCUUUCUAUGUUGGUUGUGAACAUGCCUUUGGCACCUGGCAGGGCCAACCCUCACGGCAUGUGUGUGAACACAUCCCUAGUCUCAUUUACCCUGUUUUUGUAGUUUACGUGAGCAGAAUCCAGUAUCUGUGUUCCUGCAUCUGGUGUUCGCUCCACGUGUUUGGGGUGUGUGCAUAUCCGCUGUGUGUGGUGUGGACUUUAUCCAUGUGCCAUGUGCAAACGCCACCCCACCCAGAGGCCACGCCAGGACCCAGGCCUGUGGGCAGUGGUUCCCAGUUUGCUCUUGCAAGGACACUGUGUCCUCCUGCGUGAGAGUCCCUGCUUCGGGUCUAAUCCUGGGAGUGGAAGGCAGGUCGUGGGUGUGGCUGCGUUCUCAGCUUCUCUGGAUGAUACCCACCAAGAGGCUGCACACCUGGAGCCAGAGGGCCUGGCUGCACAGCUCCCUCGCACUGGGCUGGGCACUUGGUCACCGGCAGUUUGGGGAAUGUGUUCUCAUGGUGGUUUCAGGUGUGAGUCUGAGCAUCAACCCCAUGUCCGCUGGAUGCUGGAGCUCUUUCCUCUCUGGCGGUGUUUCUCAUCAGGGUUCCCCACCGGCCUACUGCACGCUGCGCCUCUCCUGACCUGUAGGAGUCCUCUGUGCCUCUGGCUGCUCACCUUUGUUGGUUUAAUGUCCGACAAAUGUCUUCCUUCGUUUUGUGGUUUGCUUUUUCAUUCUUCUAGUGGAACCUGUUGCUUUACAGAAGCAUCUACUUUCAACAGUCUUGUUUAAGACGGUGUCAGCACUGGGCUGGCCUGGUCCCUGAACUCAGGUGUGUUUCCUUUGCAAACUCUAGAGAAGAGAGACAAGGGAGGAAGGACAGGUAGCGGCAGAGCAUGUGGAAAUGUUUUCCAGGCAGGAUGGCUUUCCUUCAAGUGACAGCAUCAUUUGAGUGACAACAGUGGUAGGUUGUGUAAUGGAUUCUGACGUGGUGGGGGUAGGGGGCACGGCCAGGCUCCGAUUCCUCCUGCUGGGCCCAAGGACUGAGGACGGUGACGGGAGUGCACAGUCCCUCCUGUGUCCUGCCAGAGGCCAGAAACUUGGGUCCACCACUCUGCCGGAUGUGUCUUCAGGAACUUCCUCAGGAGGUACUGGGGUGCCAGGAAUGUCUGAAAGGCAUUUCUGGACACCUGCUGUGGCCUCAUACAGGAGAGUAGGCGACCUGGCCAAAGUCGGCACACAGGACGAGAUAAAGCAUCCAGGGAUGCGGGGUCACGGCCCUCACUCCACUGCAGGGGUGGGGAUGAGGGAGGCCAGAGGGGAUCAGACAGGGCCAGCUGUUGAUGGUUCUGAGAUGCAGUUUCUGUCUGAGGGGCCUCCUCCCACUCUUGGCCUCUGCAGAGGGGUGGGUGUGUGGAGGGAAGGUGGGUCUGCCCUGGUCGAACAGCACAGGCAUUGCCUGUCUCAUUCCAUUCCGAGUGCCCCCAGGGAGAGUCAGCCACCUUCUGCAGAGAGGCAAGGCCAGAAGGCAGGGGCCUCCCCUCUGGUGACCACCAAGGCCUGUGGUACAAGCAGUGCCGGCUGCUGUCCUCUCUGGCCCUUGUCUCCUUCCAGCCUCUCCGCUAUUAGCAGAGGGGCAGAAGUUCAUAGUAGACCACUUGACAGGUAGACACAGGCCACCCCCAACCCCUGGCCCUGGAGGAAGCUCCCCAGUGGCCUCCUGGAGCCAGGAGAGAUGGAACUGAGCUGUAUCU